rnacentral:lncRNA from 1 species
UCAGCGUCCUGCCUGCACUCGUGAUGAUGAGGGACCUGGCUCUUGCAGGCAUGCUGAUCAGCCUGGCUUUCCUGUCCCUACUGCCAUCUGGAUGUCCCCAGCAGACCACAGAGGACGCCUGCUCCGUGCAGAUUCUUGUCCCCGGCCUCAAAGGGGAUUCAGGAGAAAAGGGAAACAAAGGAGCCCCAGGACGGCCAGGAAGAGUCGGCCCCACAGGAGAAAAAGGGGUUUUAGCCUUGUAACCAGGACACCACGCUGCCCAUGGAGCUAAAACCAGUCUGUGACCAAACACGGAGGAGGAGCAGAUAUUCUAGAUGUGUCAGAGCCUUUCAUUACUUCUUCUUCAACACAUCCAAAUGAUAGUAUAGUCUCAGCAGCAGCAGCAGUCGUAGCUGCUGAUCCCGUGUGAAGCUAUGAUGCUAGAGGGUCAGGUAGCAAAAGGUCCCCUCUGCUGCUUUGGGUUAACUAACUCUGUGCUAAAUAACUUUAUCAUCCUGGGUUGUGUGAGGAUCAACUGUGUGCUUAUACACAUGUGCUUGCACACAUGUAUAGCAUGUAUAUUCACAUACAUGUAUAUAAUAUGUUUUAUAUGUGGACAUGCAUGCACACACAAAAUCAUAGGUGUACAUUACUGUUUGUAUGUUUGUAUACCUGUAUAUAAGUAUACGUAUAUAAAGUACCAUGUGUUUGCAUGUCCAUAUAUAUGUAUACAUGUGUACAAAUAUUCUACAUAUAUAUGCUUGUAUUUACAUGUAUAUUUGUGUGUAUGUAUAGAUAGCACACUGUAUCCUUGUAUGAACAUACACGUAUGUGAAUGAAUUUAAUUGUAAGUAUAUAUAUAUGUGUGUACACACAUAUUUGCAUAUACAUAUGUGAAUAUAAGUUUGAGGUAUUUCUACAUAUGCAUAAUUAAAUGUAUGUAUGAUUAUGAAGC